rnacentral:rRNA from 1 species
AGUGAACGCUGGCGGCAGGCCUAACACAUGCAAGUCGAACGGCAGCACGGCAGUAGCAAUACUGUGGGUGGCGAGUGGCGGACGGGUGAGGAAUACAUCGGGAUCUACCCUGUUGUGGGGGAUAACGUAGGGAAACUUACGCUAAUACCGCAUAAGAACUGAGGUUGAAAGCGGCGGACCGCAAGGCGUCGCGCGAUUGGAUGAACCGAUGUCCGACUAGCUAGUUGGCGGGGUAAAGGCCCACCAAGGCGACGAUCGGUAGCUGGUCUGAGAGGACGACCAGCCACACUGGAACUGAGACACGGUCCAGACUCCUACGGGAGGCAGCAGUGGGGGAAUAUUGGACAAUGGGCGCAAGCCUGAUCCAGCCAUGCCGCGUGGGUGAAGAAGGCCUC